AGAGUUUGAUCNUGGCUCAGGAUGAACGCUAGCGGCAGGCCUAACACAUGCAAGUCGAGGGGUAGCAGGAUUAAGCUUGCUUAAUUGCUGACGACCGGCGCACGGGUGCGUAACGCGUAUGCAACCUACCUUAUACUGGGGUAUAGCCCGGAGAAAUUCGGAUUAAUCCCCCAUAGUACUAUUUAACCGCAUGGUUGAAUAGUUAAAGUAUUGCGGUAUAAGAUGGGCAUGCGUCCUAUUAGCUAGAUGGUGAGGUAACGGCUCACCAUGGCUACGAUAGGUAGGGGGCCUGAGAGGGUGGUCCCCCACACUGGUACUGAGACACGGACCAGACUCCUACGGGAGGCAGCAGUGAGGAAUAUUGGUCAAUGGGCGCAAGCCUGAACCAGCCAUGCCGCGUGCAGGAAGAAUGCCCUAUGGGUUGUAAACUGCUUUUAUUUGGGAAUAAACCUCUUUACGUGUAGAGAGCUGAAGGUACCAAAUGAAUAAGCACCGGCUAACUCCGUGCCAGCAGCCGCGGUAAUACGGAGGGUGCAAGCGUUAUCCGGAAUCAUUGGGUUUAAAGGGUCCGCAGGCGGAUUUAUAAGUCAGUGGUGAAAUCCUAUCGCUUAACGAUAGAACUGCCAUUGAUACUGUAAGUCUUGAAUUCGGUCGGAGUGGGCGGAAUGUGUAGUGUAGCGGUGAAAUGCAUAGAUAUUACACAGAACACCGAUAGCGAA
rnacentral:rRNA from 1 species